UACAUGGGGUGCAAACGUUGCUCGGAAUUAUUGGGCGUAAAGCGCGCGUAGGCGGUUACUUAAGUCGGAUGUGAAAGCCCUCGGCUUAACUGAGGAAGUGCACCCGAAACUGAGUAGCUAGAGUACGAAAGAGGGUCGCGGAAUUCCCGGUGUAGAGGUGAAAUGCGUAGAGAUCGGCAGGAACACCCAGGGGGAAACCAGUGGACUGGGCAGGCGCUGACACUCAUGUGCGAAAGCGUGGGGAGCGAACCGG
rnacentral:rRNA from 1 species